rnacentral:rRNA from 1 species
CGCGUAGGCGGACUCUUAAGUCGGGGGCGAAAGCCCAGGGCUCAACCCUGGAAUUGCCUUCGAUACUGAGAGUCUUGAGUUCGGAAGAGGUUGGUGGAACUGCGAGUGUAGAGGUGAAAUUCGUAGAUAUUCGCAAGAACACCAGUGGCGAAGGCGGCCAACUGGUCCGAUACUGACGCUGAGGCGCGAAAGCGUGGGGAGCAAACA